GACGGAGGGUGCUAGCGUUGUUCGGAAUCACUGGGCGUAAAGGGCGCGUAGGCGGCCUGGAAAGUCAGAUGUGAAAGCCCGGGGCUCAACCCCGGAAUUGCAUUUGAGACUCCCUGGCUGGAGGUCGAGGGAGGAGAGUGGAAUACCCAGUGUAGAGGUGAAAUUCGUAGAUAUUGGGUGGAACACCAGUGGCGAAAGCGGCUCUCUGGCUCGAAUCUGACGCUGAGGCGCGAAAGCGUGGGGAGCAAACAGG
rnacentral:rRNA from 1 species